UACGUAGGCAGCAAGCGUUGUUCGGAGUUACUGGGCGUAAAGGGUGUGUAGGCGGUUGUUUAAGUUUGGUGUGAAAUCUCCCGGCUCAACCGGGAGGGUGCGCCGAAUACUGAAUAACUAGAGUGCGGGAGAGGAAAGUGGAAUUCCUGGUGUAGCGGUGAAAUGCGCAGAUAUCAGGAGGAACACCUGUGGUGUAGACGGCUUUCUGGACCAUAGCUGACGCUGAGACACGAAAGCGUGGGUAGCAAACAGG
rnacentral:rRNA from 1 species